UGGGGAAUUUUGGACAAUGGGCGAAAGCCUGAUCCAGCCAUGCCGCGUGAGUGAAGAAGGCCUUCGGGUUGUAAAGCUCUUUUAGUCGGAAAGAAAGAGUUGCAAUGAAUAAUUGUGAUUUAUGACGGUACCGACAGAAAAAGCACCGGCUAACUACGUGCCAGCAGCCGCGGUAAUACGUAGGGUGCGAGCGUUAAUCGGAAUUACUGGGCGUAAAGGGUGCGCAGGCGUCUUGCAAGUCAGAUGUGAAAGCCCCGGGCUUAACCUGGGAAUUGCGUUUGAAACUACAAGACUAGAGUGCAGCAGAGGGGAGUGGAAUUCCAUGUGUAGCAGUGAAAUGCGUAGAGAUGUGGAAGAACACCGAUGGCGAAGGCAGCUCCCUGGGUUGACACUGACGCUCAUGCACGAAAGCGUGGGGAGCAAACA
rnacentral:rRNA from 1 species